rnacentral:rRNA from 1 species
GAUGAACGCUAGCUACAGGCUUAACACAUGCAAGUCGCGGGGCAGCAUGGGGGUUGCUUGCAAUCCCCGAUGGCGACCGGCGCACGGGUGAGUAACGCGUAUCCAACCUGCCCUUCACCACGGGAUAACCCGGCGAAAGUCGGACUAAUACCGUAUGUUGUCCAUUGACGGCAUCCGAUUUGGACGAAAGGUUUGGCGGUGAAGGAUGGGGAUGCGUCCGAUUAGCUGGACGGCGGGGUGACGGCCCACCGUGGCGACGAUCGGUAGGGGUUCUGAGAGGGAGGGCCCCCACACUGGAACUGAGACACGGUCCAGACUCCUACGGGAGGCAGCAGUGAGGAAUAUUGGUCAAUGGGCGUAAGCCUGAACCAGCCAAGUAGCGUGCAGGAUGACGGCCCUAUGGGUUGUAAACUGCUUUUAUGCGGGGAUAAAGUGGCCCACGUGUGGGUUUUUGCAGGUACCGCAUGAAUAAGGACCGGCUAAUUCCGUG